rnacentral:lncRNA from 1 species
AGGUACUCAAAAAAAUAUUUGGUGAAAGAAAGAAAGCUAAUACCACUCAUUCUUUCUGUUCCCCCAGACCUACCUACCCAUCACUUAGCAAAAGCUCUUCCUCACCUGAAACAAGCUGGUGUGGAAUGUCUGGUGGCCCUGUUCAAAGUCCCUGAUAAUUUCUUCACCUACACAAGUGGUCAAGGAGUACACCUUCCUAUGAGCAUGUAAAAUGGCAGCUCUCUGCAGAUUCCUAUUAUGGUGCCAAAGCCUGGAAAUUGAAUUCAGCAGUCUAGCCAACAUCCUACCAGAGCUGCUGUCAUCAGGAAUUAUUUUCAAAAGGGAGAGAUUGUUAGGAGAGGGAAAAGGAAAAAUACUAAGAAUUUACUGGAAUAUGUUAGGAAGUCACAGACCGGGCAGAGUGUACUAAAGACCGUUUGAGGAACUAACCUGAUAAGGCAAGACCUGUUUUCUUGUUAUUUGUUUUCAUUGAAAAUGGCUUUAAUCAGAAGUGGAAAAGAUAGGGGAUGAGAUUAGACUGAGAAGAG